AACGAACGCUGGCGGCAUGCCUAACACAUGCAAGUCGAACGAGACCUUCGGGUCUAGUGGCGUACGGGUGCGUAACGCGUGGGAACCUGCCCUUAGGUUCGGAAUAACUCCCCGAAAGGGGUGCUAAUACCGGAUAAUGUCUUCGGACCAAAGAUUUAUCGCCUGUGGAUGGGCCCGCGUUGGAUUAGCUAGUUGGUAGGGUAAAAGCCUACCAAGGCGACGAUCCAUAGCUGGUCUGAGAGGAUGAUCCGCCACACUGGGACUGAGACACGGCCCAGACUCCUACGGAAGGCAGCAGUGGGGAAUAUUGGACAAUGGGCGAAGGCCUGAUCCAGCAAUGCCGCGUGAGUGAUGAAGGCCUUAGGGUUGUAAAGCUCUAUUACCCGGGAUGAUAAUGACAGUACCGGGAGAAUAAGCUCCGGCUAACUCCGUG
rnacentral:rRNA from 1 species